CUAUCUUUCCACAAAUUUAGAAUGUGGGUCCACAAUAGUCCUACCAGUUAAUCACUGCUCAGAAAGAAUUAUAGCCAGACCCUUCCCACCAAUGCUUCCCAAAAACAUUUUGCCAGGAUAUUCUGGCCACCAGAAGACCUCAGUGGUG